AAGACUAUACUUUCAGGGAUCAUUUCUGUAGUUUGUUAUUAGAAAUAGUCUUGAUUAUGCAAACAAGUAAAAUUAUACAGU
rnacentral:snoRNA from 1 species